CGUAGCCGCGGGAAUACGAAGGGGGCUAGCGUUGUUCGGAAUUACUGGGCGUAAAGCGCACGUAGGCGGAUAUUUAAGUCAGGGGUGAAAUCCCGCAGCUCAACUGCGGAACUGCCUUUGAUACUGGGUAUCUUGAGUAUGGAAGAGGUUAGUGGAAUUGCGAGUGUAGAGGUGAAAUUCGUAGAUAUUCGCAGGAACACCAGUGGCGAAGGCGGCUAACUGGUCCAUAACUGACGCUGAGGUGCGAAAGCGUGGGGAGCAAACAGGAUUAGAUACCCCCGUAGUCCCUGUCUCUUAUACA
rnacentral:rRNA from 1 species